AAGUACCGUGAGGGAAAGUUGAAAAGAACUUUGAAGAGAGAGUUCAAAAGUACGUGAAACCGUUCAGGGGUAAAUCUAAGAAACUCAAAAGAUCGAACGGGGAUAUUCAUCGUCAGCGACGCUGGCUUCGCGUCGGUGGGCGAUGUCUCGCGGGGCCUCGCGGCUCGCGCGCGAAUACGCCGCCGUGCUCUCGAUGUCCGGCGUUUCGUCAUCGUG
rnacentral:rRNA from 1 species